GGAGAAGAAGAACGCGGGUGUAUGUGUGACACACAGAAAAAGUGAGUGUUGUAUUUGAGAAGCUCGUCCGAUAAAGUGACUUAAACGAAAGUUAAUCGGGGCUUAGAUCGAAUAAAGGACAACAUCAAGUAAUUUUUGUGAGCUGUGUCCCGCGUUUCGUAGUUUUUUUGUGAGUUUUGAUCUGUGAAUCGCAUUGCGUUGGACUGCUGGAGUGACGCAGUAAUGUUUGUGAAGGCUACAAGAACUGAACUUUGAACUGUGAGAGUUCGGUUGAAUCACAGAACCUAAAGUGAACUGAGUGAGUACAUAAAGGGACAUUUCACGUGAGUGCUCUUCCAGAUGUGAAAUUGCAUCGUAUAUAUUGAUGUUGUUUUUCUCCUCAAAUGUGAUUGUCUGAUCAUUCGAAGUUGAUCAUUUUGAAAACUUAAAAUUCAUCAUAAGUGGUGUUUAGAAAAGUGUUUUUUUUAUUUUAUUUUGAAGUGGGGUUUAUCUUUGUACAAGUAAAAAAGUUUAGAGUUUUUACAUUGAAAGUGAUUGGGUUGUACUGGGUUUGAAAGAAAACACAAAGACCAUACAUUUUUUUAUUUAUUUUAUUUACUCUAUUUUAUUUUAUUAACCCUUAAUUAACACUUGAUUACAAGAAAGAAGAAAAGACACAGAUAAUAAAUAUUGUUUAAUUUUCAUACUUACCUCAUUGUAUUUUUUGUUUAGAGCUGUCAAGGAGUAGGGGCGUCUCAGCUACUUUAUUAGACCAGAGGAGGGAGGAGUAUAUUAGAUUUUCUCACACCUUUUACUUUUACUUCAGGAAGCCAGUGACAUUACUUAAGCUGAAGCCUACCCUCGUCGGUCUGUACAUUCCAAUAAAGUAGAACACAACAUACAUACAAUUAGUGUGUAGUGAGACUAAAAGCACUGGAAGCGGAGACUAAGAUCUUUUCGUUAUUCAGUCUUCCGUGGCAGCACUAAUACAUCUUCCCCUACAAGACGGGUUAAAUACUCGUUACAUAAGUGGCGUCACGAACAGGAUCCAUACUUAGCCUAAUUUUUGUGGUUGUUGUAGUAUUCUGUCCCAGGUCUGUGAGCAAGAAGAAAAAUGGCAGAACUGGAAGAACUGAAGAAGGAGUUUGCUGAAAUGCAGAAGAGGUUAGCGGAGCAAGCUGGGGCAUUGGAUCAUGCCAGAACGGAACAGCGAGAAGCCCUGUCACUGGCCAGAGCAGUAAUGGAACAGCAAGCAUCCACUCGUGCAACCCCAGCAACGAUCUAUAUUCCAAGAGAUCAUAAGCUUACAGAUUUCACUGGAACCACAAAACCUGGAGAAGGAAGUGUGGAAGAGUGGAUUGUCUCUAUGAAAUCAGCCUUUCGAGUCAUGAAGGUGCCAGAAGAAGAUCAGGUGGAGCUGAUAAAGCAGCACUUAAAGGGGGAGGCUAAAGAUACUGUGAGGUUCAUGAUGGAAGAAGUGGAUAACUGUGUGGAGUCCAUUUUUCAGCUGCUUCAGGAAACCUAUGGAGACAAGGUACCUAUUGGCACAAGGUUGAAAGACUUUUAUGAUCGAAAACAAGCACCUAAUGAGACCAUACGUGCCUAUGCUUACGAUUUACGAGAAAAGCUCAACAAAGUGAAACGCAGAGAGCCCAAACGAGUUCCAGACGAAGAGAGUGUUUUGAAAGAGCAGUUAGUCCUUGGAUUGAGAGAUGAUUUCCUGAGAAGAGAGAUGAAACGGAGGGUCAAGGAAGAGCAACGGUUGACUUUUGCACAGCUGAUGCAGGACGCCAUCACAUGGUCUGAGGAAGAGGAAGCACAAUCUGAAGGUAACCUGAAGACCCCUGUGCGUGCGAGAGUAGCAGUUCACACUACAGUUGCGACUGGUGACAAUCCAUCCUCACUGACACUAGAAAAGUUGCACGAGGCAAUAGAGAAAAUAGCUGCACGACAGGAAGAAUUGUACAGAAUUGUCCAUAGUCAAGGGAGAGUUGAUCCCCAGUCUGAUGUUAUGAGAAGACAGCCUCUGAGAAACAGUGAAGGGCAAUAUAUCUGUUACACAUGUGGUCAACCAGGUCACACCAGUCGACGUUGUAGGCAGUUUAAGGAGCUGGGUAACCGGGGCACUGCGUCAUCGUCAAUGGCGGAAGUAUCUGAGGUGUUAAGAGGAGCUUCGUCAGGUGACAAUUCAAGCACCAGUGGGCCUUCCGUAAUCCGGAGCCAUACAGCUGACUGGAAUUCAGAUAUAGCGCCAGAAACACUAAGGGGUAGCGCUUUUGGAGACUGUUUGACAGUGGAUGUGAAAAUAGCAGGGGUGCUCACCAAAUGCUUGUUGGACACCGGUUCAGAGGUUACCACCAUCUCAGAGUCUCACUUUAAACAUCAUUUCGGAGGACAAGAGAUACAGCUGGCGUCUGCUAACUGGGUGCGCCUCACUGCUGCAAACGGACUAGACAUUCCUGUCCUUGGAUGUCUACAGGCAGACAUAGAGUGCAUGGGAAAGCUGCUUCCAGGGAAGUGUGUUUUCGUGCUAACAGACUCGAACCCCGAAGUGAAGGAGAUGAAGGGAUUGGCUGGAAUUGUGGGGAUGAAUGUGCUUAGUGAAUUGAAAAACCUUUUGCUGUCUGGAAAGGAUUUGGAUAAGGAGAGCAAAGUGAGCCAACGUGCAGAUGCUAAUGUCAGACGAGUGAUAGCCAAAGUGAAGAAAGAUGAAGGACUCGUGGGCCCAGAGGGAAGGAUAGGAUUCGUUAAGGUGUCUGGGAAGCAAGUUGUGAUAAUUCCACCCUUAAGUGAGAAAAUUGUGGAAGGCCACUGCAGUAUACCUCAUCAAGUAAAGCAUCAAGUAUUGGUGGAGUGCACAGGCUCUGUUACCCUUCCAAAAGGAUUGUUAGUGGCCAAUGUGCUUGCAAGCCCAGAAAAGGGGAAAGUUCCGGUGCGGGUGUUAAAUCUCUGUCAAGAAACCGUCAGGUUAAUGCCGAGAUCCAGGAUUGCAGUUGUGUCUAGGCCUCAAAAAGUAGUUCCAAAGCAAAUGGUGGAAUUUGAAGAGGAUGAUGAUGAGUUGCGUGUUAAACGACAUGUACAGUGCAGCAUUAAGAGUGAGAGCCAGCCUGAACAAUUGUCAAUUCCAGUUCAGAUGAAUCAGGACGGACUGUCUGAGAUGCAACGGGAGGAGCUAAAUGCCCUACUGAGACGUUACAGUGAUGUUUUCUCCAAGAGUGACACAGAUUAUGGAUACACAACAACAGUGACACAUAGCAUACCUACUGGAGAUGCUCAGCCAAUAAAACAACGCCAUCGACGAGUCCCACCCCACGUUUUUCAAGAGUUUAAGAGACAUGUGCAGGAUCUUGUCAGUCAAGGUGUACUGAACGAGAGUCGCAGUCCGUGGGCCUCACCUGCAGUUAUUGUGAUAAAAAAAGACGGAAGUGUUCGUUUCUGCUGCGACUACAGGAGACUCAACCAAGUCACAUUUAAGGAUGCCUACCCCCUUCCGCGUGUGGAGGAAUCCUUGGAUGCUUUGGGGAAUGCACAGUUGUUUUCCACACUGGAUCUCACGGCAGGUUAUUUUCAAGUGGCGGUAAAUGAAUCAGAUCGGGAGAAGACUGCUGUCACAACUCCGUUCGGGUUGUUUGAGUGGACACGGAUGCCGUUUGGUUUAUGCAACGCUCCGGCCACCUUUCAGCGAUUAAUGAGUGCAGCAUUAGGUGAUCUGGCCUUUGACGUUCUCUUGAUCUAUCUUGACGAUAUUAUUGUGUUCUCUGUGGAUUUCAAGAGCCAUUGUGAGAAGUUGGAGCUUGUGUUUUCAAGGUUGCGUUAGCACGGACUGAAGCUGAAACCAAGUAAAUGUUUCCUUCUGAGACCAGAGGUCCGGUUCUUGGGACACAUCAUUUCGUCAAAGGGAGUUCAAGUGGACAAGGACAAGGUUCAGUGCUUGGAUGCGUGGCCUUCACCGAAGAAUGUUAGAGAGGUCAGACAGCUGCUGGGAUUUAUGAGUUACUAUCGUCGGUUUGUCCCAAGAUUCGCACAGCUGGCAAAGCCCCUACAUGCCCUGGUGGGAAAAGGUAACAAAGGCAAGUCAGCCGAACCGUUUAUCUGGAGUGAUGAGUGUCAGUCCGCAUUCAGCAAGCUAAAGAGUUGUCUCAUGUCACCUCCGAUUCUGGCUUACCCUGAUUUUCAGUGUCCGUUCAUACUCACGACGGAUGGGAGCCUCAAUGGACUUGGAGCAAUACUCAGUCAAAAGCAGGGGGGCGUUGAACGUGUCAUUGCUUACGCGAGCAGAGGUCUAAAGGGAUCUGAAAGAAAUGACAAGUAUUACAGUGCCUUCAAGUUGGAGUUACUUGCCCUUAAAUGGGCAGUAACGGAGAAAUUUAAGGAAUACCUGAUAUUUGCUAAAUUUCAGGUUAUUACUGAUCACAAUCCUCUUCGCUACCUGGAGACAGCCAACCUCGGAGCAGUGGAACAGCGUUGGUCUGCACAGUUAGCAGAGUUCAACUUUGAGGUGUGUUACAAGCCCGGCAGACAGAACAUCAAUGCUGACGUUCUUUCGAGGAUUCCCUGGAGUAUGGAACCCGAGGAGGAUGACAAUGGAAAAGACUUCAUUCGGUUGACAUCAGACGAGGUACGGGCAUGCCUGUGGCCAAGUAAAAAAGAAGGAGUUGACAAGUCUGUUGUUCGAGUUGCCAAGCAAGCAGCCAUAAGGAAGGGUGUUGAUGGUUAUAGCUGGUCAUCCAUUAAAGAGCAACAGAGGAAGGAUUCUUGUAUAGAACCUGUGUACAAUUCUGUACUCGAGAACAGGAGGAUAAUGACACGUACCUUCCGGGAUAUGGAAACCCAGCAAAGGAAGUUAGCUAGACAGUUGGAGCGUUUGAAAUUAAGACAUGAAGUGCUGUUCCGAGUGAUUACGGACCCAAGAGACGGAGAAGAAAUUUGGCAGUUGGUAGUGCCUGAGUCUUUACGGGAGAAAGUGUUUAAAGGAGUUCAUGAACAUGGAGGACAUUUUGGCAGCAGGAGUACAUUAGAGCAGAUGCGAAAAAGUUAUUAUUGGCCCACAAUGGCUAAUGACGUACAGACAUGGGUAACUCAGUGUCGAAGAUGUACUCUAGCUAAGGAUGUAUUCCCCAGGAUUCGUGCUCCUAUGACCUGCACCAAUAUAACCGCACCCCUUGAAGUACUUGCCAUGGAUUACACUGUGCUGGAGAGAUCAGCAGGGGGUUACGAGAAUGUUCUAGUGCUUACGGACAUGUUUACAAGAUUUACUGUGGCAGUCCCCACGAAAAAUCAGACAGCACUGACCACCGCCAAAGCCCUUGUACGACACUGGUUUGUCUGCUAUGGGUGUCCUGCCCGAUUGCACUCGGAUCAAGGCAGAUGUUUCGAGGCAAGCGUAAUAAAGGAGCUCUGUAAAUUGUAUGGAAUCAGCAAGAGUCGCACCAGUCCUUAUCAUCCGCAGGGGAACGCGCAGUGCGAAAGGUUCAAUCGCACGAUGCAUGACAUGCUGCGAACAUUACCUGCGGAAAAGAAGAAGGAUUGGAAAACUCACCUGCCUGAACUUGUGAUGGCCUAUAAUAGCCAUGUUCAUUCAUCGACCGGUUACUCCCCAUUUUAUUUAAUGUUCGGACGGGACGCAAGACUGCCCAUGGAUGUUCUAGGAGGAAAAGACCUAUCUGAUGAUGAGGCGGAUGAUCUUGAUGAGUGGGUAAAGAAUCACCAUGAACGCCUGAGAACUGCAGUGGAGACGGCGAAGGUAACUGCUCAAGAAGCUUCCAGGAGAAGGAAGAGGGUCUAUGACCGCAAGGCCUCAGGAGCGCUCAUUAGACCUGGUGACAGAGUAUUGUUGCGUAACCACAAGUUUAGAGGACGUAACAAAAUUCAAGAUAAGUGGGAGUCUGUACCAUAUUUGGUAAUGCAGCAAAAUCAUGCAGGUUUACCAGUCUUUACUGUACGUCCUGAGCAGGGAGGUUCCACAAAGGUCGUUCACAGAGAUCAGUUGAGACACUGUACUUUCCCCUCACCCACAAGGCAGGUUACACAUGCAAGAAGAGGAAAAGAAUUGUCAGACUCAGACUCACAAGACAUUGUUUACAUUCCAUAUACUACACACUUACCAAAAACGUGCUUACCUGGGGAAGCUGAGGGUGGAGUGGUAUGUGAAGAGGGUAAUGUAGCUGGGAGUGAGAGAGUAGACACAGGUCAAGAUGGGGAAUCUGAAGACACUGAUAUUUCAGAGGCUGACACUAGUGGGGUACCUGAUCUUAGACGUUCGAAGAGGGAAACCCAGGGUAGAUUGCCUGUAAGGUAUAAGGAUGAUUACAUUCUGAAAUAAGAGUCUAGAAAGUUCUGUAACUUUUAAGGUAUUGGGAGAAAAAGUCAUGUACAAUGUGAUGUCUUCCUAAUAUGUUUUUUUUGUGUUUCAGAGAUGAGCCUGCUGGAGAUGUCGAUGGCAUGGCAGGGUUUAGCAGGGGGGAAUGUAACGGGUGUAUAUUAUCUAAAAAAAUCAUUAUUAUUUUGGGGGACUUUUAUUUUGACGGGCGGAUUGGUUUUCGGCGAUGAGAGUCAGCGAGGAGAAGAAGAACGCGGGUGUAUGUGUGACACACAGAAAAAGUGAGUGUUGUAUUUGAGAAGCUCGUCCGAUAAAGUGACUUAAACGAAAGUUAAUCGGGGCUUAGAUCGAAUAAAGGACAACAUCAAGUAAUUUUUGUGAGCUGUGUCCCGCGUUUCGUAGUUUUUUUGUGAGUUUUGAUCUGUGAAUCGCAUUGCGUUGGACUGCUGGAGUGACGCAGUAAUGUUUGUGAAGGCUACAAGAACUGUGAGUGUAUUUAACUUACAAGUUUAGCUUGAUUAGUGACGAUUGAAGAGAUUUUAUUUUUUUUCUUCCUCCACAUUUUUGUUUAAGUUUUGGACUUUUUCCAUCUUGAUUGAGAAGCACUCGUACAAACUAACGUUUCAGGAAGUUUGGUCACGCGCAUUUUUGUGUUCGGCACGUGUUAUCGCACGUGAGAUGCAAAUUGCUGUCUGCAGUUGGUGCUGAACAUCGGGGGGGGGGGUUUCCAGAAGAUUUGAGUUUAAGACUAUUUUGUGUUACCCUGCCAUCCAACGACAUCUCAGUUUGACAUCUCAGUGGUGUAUCGCAGUUUAAUACAUCCCUGUUGGUUCAUUUCAUUUUUGAUUCACCUCAGUUUGAUUCAUUCGCUUUCGACUCAUUUUUGAUUCAUUUUUUUGUGGGACAUUUCAUUGAGCUUGAGUGACAUUGCUACGAAAUCUCAAGAUAAUUUCAACGCACGCUACGUCAAGAACUCAUCUCAAUUCCUUAUUUUUUUUAUAUUUUUUGAUCCGAGGAACUUUGAACUGUGAGAGUUCGGUUGAAUCACAGAACCUAAAGUGAACUGAGUGAGUACAUAAAGGGACAUUUCACGUGAGUGCUCUUCCAGAUGUGAAAUUGCAUCGUAUAUAUUGAUGUUGUUUUUCUCCUCAAAUGUGAUUGUCUGAUCAUUCGAAGUUGAUCAUUUUGAAAACUUAAAAUUCAUCAUAAGUGGUGUUUAGAAAAGUGUUUUUUUUAUUUUAUUUUGAAGUGGGGUUUAUCUUUGUACAAGUAAAAAAGUUUAGAGUUUUUACAUUGAAAGUGAUUGGGUUGUACUGGGUUUGAAAGAAAACACAAAGACCAUACAUUUUUUUAUUUAUUUUAUUUACUCUAUUUUAUUUUAUUAACCCUUAAUUAACACUUGAUUACAAGAAAGAAGAAAAGACACAGAUAAUAAAUAUUGUUUAAUUUUCAUACUUACCUCAUUGUAUUUUUUGUUUAGAGCUGUCAAGGAGUAGGGGCGUCUCAGCUACUUUAUUAGACCAGAGGAGGGAGGAGUAUAUUAGAUUUUCUCACACCUUUUACUUUUACUUCAGGAAGCCAGUGACAUUACUUAAGCUGAAGCCUACCCUCGUCGGUCUGUACAUUCCAAUAAAGUAGAACACAACAUACAUACAAUUAGUGUGUAGUGAGACUAAAAGCACUGGAAGCGGAGACUAAGAUCUUUUCGUUAUUCAGUCUUCCGUGGCAGCACUAAUACAUCUUCCCCUACAAGACGGGUUAAAUACUCGUUACAC
ensembl:lncRNA